rnacentral:rRNA from 1 species
UGAGGAAUAUUGGACAAUGGAGGAAACUCUGAUCCAGCCAUGCCGCGUGCAGGAUGAAUGCCCUAUGGGUUGUAAACUGCUUUUAUACAGGAAGAAACAUUUCCACGUGUAGAAACUUGACGGUACUGUAAGAAUAAGGAUCGGCUAACUCCGUGCCAGCAGCCGCGGUAAUACGGAGGAUCCAAGCGUUAUCCGGAAUUAUUGGGUUUAAAGGGUCUGUAGGUGGUUAUUUAAGUCAGAGGUGAAAUCCUGCCGCUUAACGGUAGAACUGCCUUUGAUACUGAUUAACUUGAGUUAUUGUGAAGUAGUUAGAAUAUGUAGUGUAGCGGUGAAAUGCAUAGAUAUUACAUGGAAUACCGAUUGCGAAGGCAGAUUACUAACAAUAUACUGACACUGAGGGACGAAAGCGUGGGUAGCGAACAGGAUUAGAUACCCUGGUAGUCCACGCCGUAAACGAUGGAUACUAGCUGUAUGUCUACCUCAGGUAGAUGUGUGGCCAAGCGAAAGUGAUAAGUAUCCCACCUGGGGAGUACGAUCGCAAGAUUGAAACUCAAAGGAAUUGACGGGGGCCCGCACAAGCGGUGGAGCAUGUGGUUUAAUUCGAUGAUACGCGAGGAACCUUACC